UGCCUACGGGGGGCAGCAGGCGCGAAACCUCCGCAAUGUGAGAAAUCGCGACGGGGGGACCCCAAGUGCCAUUCUUAACGGGAUGGCUUUUCUUAAGUGUAAAAAGCUUUUGGAAUAAGAGCUGGGCAAGACCGGUGCCAGCCGCCGCGGUAACACCGGCAGCUCUAGUGGUAGCCAUUUUUAUUGGGCCUAAAGCGUUCGUAGCCGGUUUAAUAAGUCUCUGGUGAAAUCCCGUAGCUUAACUAUGGGAAUUGCUGGAGAUACUAUUAGGCUUGAGGUCGGGAGAGGUUAGAGGUACUCCCAGGGUAGGGGUGAAAUCCUGUAAUCCUGGGAGGACCACCUGUGGCGAAGGCGUCUAACUGGAACGAACCUGACGGUGAGGGACGAAAGCUAGGGGCGCGAACCGGAUUAGAUACCCCGGUAGUCCA
rnacentral:rRNA from 1 species